AUUGAACGCUGGCGGCAUGCUUUACACAUGCAAGUCGAACGGUAACAGGCCGCCAGGUGCUGACGAGUGGCGAACGGGGGCGUAAUUCAUCGGAACGUGCCCAGUCGUGGGGUAUAACUACUCGAAAGAGUAGCUAAUACCGCAUACGAUCUAUGGAUGAAAGCGAGGGACCGUAAAGCCUCGCGCGAUUGGAGCGACCGAUGUCAGAUUAGGUAGUUGGUGGGGUAAAGGCUCACCAAGCCAACGAUCUGUAGCUGGUCUGAGAGGACGACCAGCCACACUGGGACUGAGACACGGCCAAGACUCCUCCGGGAGGAAGCAGUGGGGAAUUUUGGACAAUGGGCGCAAGCCUGAUCCAGCAAUGCCGCGUGCAGGAAGAAGGCCUUCGGGUUGUAAACUGCUUUUGUACGGAACGAAACGGCUCUGGUUAAUACCCGGGGCUAAUGACGGUACCGUAAGAAUAAGCACCGGCUAACUACGUG
rnacentral:rRNA from 1 species